rnacentral:tRNA from 1 species
AGGCAUUUAGCUCAGUGGUCCAAGUGCUUGCCUGGUAAGCAUGAGGUCGUGAGUUCAACUCCCAGUACCAA